rnacentral:lncRNA from 1 species
UUGUCCUAUAGUUAAAGUACGUAAUACUUUGUUGUAUUGACGUGGUAAAAUCAUUCAAUAUUAGUUAAUCACUUAGUCACUACUAUUUUCUUUUUCAGCCUUCAUGGGCUGAUACCAGCUGAGAAUAUGGAACAAGGAAGAAAGAUGUUUCUGCUCCUAAUGGUCACAUUAAUUCAACCAAGCAAUCACUGAAGACAUAGAGAUACUGUAAAUAUUUCAAGAAUUUGAUGGUAGCUUGACAUGAUCAAAUUAAUUUUUCAUGUAGUUGUUGUAUUUGAUAUUUUUGUAAAUGCAUGAGGACAAGUUGUAUAUCAAAAACUAGUAAACCACCUUUUAUGAAGAAACAGAAACAAUGGAUUAUUUGCU